GUUGUAUCAAGAGAUACAAAUUAGAAAAUAGGAUCUGUUUAUUUUUCGAACGAAAUAAAAAAAUCGAUGUCUUGGGUUGCCUGUGCGUUGGACACAGUAGCCCAAGACAAGGCACAGUAGCCCAAGACGGUUUUUUUCAAAAGAAAUAGAAAAAUAAUCAAUCACAAGGGGAACCGCGUCCUCAAUCACACGGGAAACCCCACACCAGGAACCUUGUCCUCACCGUCGAAAGAAAUAAAAACAUCGAUGUCUUGGGUUGCCUGUGCGUUGGACACAGGUAGCCAAAGACAAGGCACAGAUAGCCCAAGACAAGGCACAGGUAGCCCAGGCCGGUUUUUUUCAAAAGAAAUAGAAAAACAAUCAAUCACAAGGGGAACCACGUCCUCAAUCACACGGGAAACCCCACAACAGGAACCUUGUCCUCACCGUCGAAAGAAAUAAAAAAAUCGAUGUCUUGGGUUGCCUGUGCGUUGGACACAGCUAGCCCAAGACAAGGCACAGGUAGCCCAAGCCGGUUUUUUUCAAAAGAAAUAGAAAAAUAAUCAAUCACAAGGGGAACCACGUCCUCAAUCACACGGGAACCACACCAGGAACCUUGUCCUCACCGUCGAAAGAAAUAAAAAAAUCGAUGUCUUGGGUUACCUGUGCGUUGGACACAGGUAGCCCAAGACAAGGCACAGGUAGCCCAAG